rnacentral:lncRNA from 1 species
UUAAGCUAUUCAUAUUUAACUCGGUUGUUCAUGGACUAUUUUUGGACUAUUUUUUAAAGUUUGGAUUUUGUUUUGUUUUUCUCAUUUCUUAAGUAUUUCAACAUAUUUCUUAUGGUAUUUAUUUUAUUCACAAAACCAUGGUUUUCCAACAACAAGUUGCAUUUUACAAUAUUGAACUAAAUUAAGAAUUUCGUUGCAAACUUAAAUGUUUUAAAAGCAUAAAUAAUCAACAGUUUCAUCAAACUAGUUAAGAAAGAUAUUUUCUCUUAUAAACUAUAUUUUUACUUAGCAAGAGCAAGUGUCAUUUUUACAAGUCAAACAGACUCUAGGUUUUUAAAUUAGUUGUGAUAACUUCUCCAAAUCUGGCCAUAAUAUCUAGACCGAGUUUGGGGUGUUACAUUCACAUUCACUGGACAGAUGAU